rnacentral:rRNA from 1 species
AGAGUUUGAUCCUGGCUCAGGAUGAACGCUAGCUACAGGCUUAACACAUGCAAGUCGAGGGGAAACGAUAUUGGAAGCUUGCUUCCGAUAGGCGUCGACCGGCGCACGGGUGAGUAACGCGUAUCCAACCUGCCCAUCACUUGGGAAUAACCUUGCGAAAGUAAGACUAAUGCCCAAUGACAUUUAUAGAAGGCAUCGGAAAUGAAUUAAAGAUUUAUCGGUGAUGGAUGGGGAUGCGUCUGAUUAGCUUGUUGGCGGGGUAACGGCCCACCAAGGCGACGAUCAGUAGGGGUUCUGAGAGGAAGGUCCCCCACAUUGGAACUGAGACACGGUCCAAACUCCUACGGGAGGCAGCAGUGAGGAAUAUUGGUCAAUGGGCGAGAGCCUGAACCAGCCAAGUAGCGUGCAGGAUGACGGCCCUAUGGGUUGUAAACUGCUUUUAUAGGGGAAUAAAGUGAGCCACGUGUGGUUUUUUGCAUGUACCCUAUGAAUAAGGACCGGCUAAUUCCGAGCCAGCAGCCGCGGUAAUACGGAAGGUCCGGGCGUUAUCCGGAUUUAUUGGGUUUAAAGGGAGCGUAGGCCGGAGAUUAAGCGUGUUGUGAAAUGUAGAUGCUCAACAUCUGCACUGCAGCGCGAACUGGUUUCCUUGAGUACGCAUAAAGUGGGCGGAAUUCGUGGUGUAGCGGUGAAAUGCUUAGAUAUCACGAAGAACUCCGAUUGCGAAGGCAGCUCACUGGGGCGCAACUGACGCUGAAGCUCGAAAGCGCGGGUAUCGAGCAGGAUUAGAUACCCUGGUAGUCCGCGCGGUAAACGAUGGAUGCCCGCUGUUGGGCCAACUGGUUCAGCGGCCAAGCGAAAGCAUUAAGCAUCCCACCUGGGGAGUACGCCGGCAACGGUGAAACUCAAAGGAAUUGACGGGGGCCCGCACAAGCAGUGGAGUAUGUGGUUUAAUUCGAAGCAACGCGAAGAACCUUACCAGGUCUUGACAUCGAGUGCAUAACUAAGAGAUUAGUGAAAUCCCUUCGGGGACACUUAGACGGGUGGUGCAUGGUUGUCGUCAGCUCGUGUCGUGAGAUGUUGGGUUAAGUCCCGCAACGAGCGCAACCCUUACCUUUAGUUGCUACGCAAGAGCACUCUAAAGGGACUGCCGUUGACAAAACGGAGGAAGGUGGGGAUGACGUCGAAUCAUCAUGCCCCUUAUGACCUGGGCUACACACGUACUACAAUGGCAAUCAACAAAGAGAAGCAAGACAGUGAUGUGGAGCAAAUCUCAAAAAAUUGUCCCAGUUCAGAUUGUAGGCUGCAACUCGCCUACAUGAAGUCGGAAUUGCUAGUAAUCGCGGAUCAGAAUGCCGCGGUGAAUACGUUCCCGGGCCUCGUACACACCGCCCGUCACACCAUGGGAGUCGGUAACACCCGAAGUCGGUAGUCUAACAGCAAUGAGGACGCCGCCGAAGGUGGGAUUGAUGACUGGGGUGAAGUCGUAACAAGGUA